UCGGGUGGGCGAGACCAUUCGCGACGGUCCGGCGGGGAGGGCGGGCUGUACCAUCCGCGGGAGGAGCCUCGGGUCCUCUUCGCGCGCUAGGGCGCCGCGGGGCCCGGCCAGCUCCGGGCUGCCCUCGGAGGCCGGGCCGCGCGGGCGUUUGGCGCCCAGGCCCCUACUCUGCGCAGCGCCCUCUUUUGUGUACAGGCCCGCGGCAGCCCCCCGCUUUCUUCCCCGCGGACGCGCACGUGCGUCCCGAGCGCGGCGGCUGUGCCCAGAGACCCGCCUGACCCCGGGCGCCCUUAGCUCUGGUCCGGGCUCCAGCCACCGCAGCACGCUCGCCUCUGGUCUCGCGCUCUGCCCUCAGGGACCUGUGCCCCGGUGAUCCACGCAAGGCCCGGUCUGCAGAAACCUUCCUCCUGUGUGGGAUCGCUGUCUGGAGAAGGGCUCCCGCGCUGCUCCGGGAAGAAGCAGACCCAGGACGGGAACACGUGGCUGAAAGGUGCCUGGGGGCCAUCUCCAGAAAAGAGGAAGAGCUGCAAGUGCCGUCGGUGAUCCCCUCCAGCUCCAACGUUCCUGCGAGGAGAAUGACAGCAAACACCAUCUCCCGCCAAGACAUCUUGAGUGUCUGGGGUUUUCUGUUGAGCUUUGGAUGCCGCCGCAUCGAGGAAUCUUUGCCAGACGCGUCACCCCCUCCGGCCUCCCCACAAGGGUGGGGCUUCCGGGGCAGCUCCCAGAGGCGAGAAGGCCAGUUCAGGAGUUUCCUUGGCGCCUCGAGGCACCCCCUGGGCAGCUGUUGUACAACAAGAAUUUAGCCGUCUUUGUCUCCGGUUCCGGCUCAACCCCUCACACCACACCUGAGUUUAUGCUAAUGAGGCGCUGGAAACUCAGAUGCGCGUCUGGAUCACGUGGCUGUGCUGAUGGGCGGAUGGCGCACCCAAGGGGCCUCCCGGACCUCACCUGUAGUCAUCGGGACCUGCUUUCCUGAGUUCUUCCCACCCUGGGCGCAGGAGUCACUGGCGCCCUUGGGCGAUUCCUACGGGGUCAAGUUUGAGCAGCUCAGCCCUAGAGGCAGCAGCAUCAGAGCAUCUCGAGGGCUGCAUGGUCUGACCUCAGACAGACACUGUGCACAGCCAGGUGAGGGGCACGUGGGCGUCAGGCUGGGGGAUCCGCUCUCCAGAUGCAGGUCUGUCCUCGGACUCGUGUUCACAGGCCUCUCUGAUCUGCUCCAGGGGGCAAAAAUUAGACUUUGUAAAUAGAAACUGAUUUAAGUAAGUAAAUCAACGGUAAGCAUUUUGGGGUCAAAACAGCCUCUUCACUCCCCAGGGACCCAGACUUCUAUCCUCACCAGGUCCUCCCCAUGCAGCCUUUUAUUGGUUUGUCAUCAUCACCCCUGCUGACGACGAGUGAUCUCCCUGGGAGUAUCCCAAGAACUGCGGUGGCUGCCCCGUGCUUUGGCACAGAAUUCCUCUCUGAGUCAGAGCCCGAGGCCGUUAGCGCGGGGGAACAGCUGCGAGGGCCACACCUCCUCGAGUCAUUUGAAAAUCUUAUGAUGAAUAAAAACGAUCCAUGACACAGACUUAUGCAUUAUAUAUUAGCCUAAUACCUCUGCAAUUACACCACCAACAGUCUUUUGUUGCACACAUGUUUUCCUAAGGACGCUCCGACUCCAGUAGUAAAACGUUGACUAUCCAGUGACACUACAUAAAAUUUCCUCUUUCUGUGUUGUCAAAUCCUUAAUAACAAUGACAAGUCUAACAUUCAGUGAAAGGAGGAGAGCGAGGUGGAAACCCCAGGAAUGCUAAAAGUGUGGAAAAGAGAAUUAUGCGUUUUAGAUUAAAUAACCAAAAGACUGAGCAGAAAUACAGGGUCAAAAGAUGCUGAAAAAGAAACCUUAAAUAUGGUUCAAGCACCACAAGCUCUUUAAGCUGUCCCCUGCGUGCAGGUGACCUUCGUUUGCAGCAGUACACCUGGUGAUGCCAUCACGAUGCUUUAAAGGACCCGGUGGCACAGUGAGAACGGGGAAGGUGGGAACUGAAAGCCAUGAGCCAGAGAAGGACCUGCUUAACUAUUACAUUUCAAAUGGAUAAACAAUAAGGUCCUGCUGUAGAGCACAGGGAACUGUAUCCAGUCUCCUGGGAUAAACCAUCAUGGAAAAGAAUAUGAAAAAUGAUGUGUA